GGACGAGACUUUUCGUUGUAGCAAUACGAUGGAAAGUUUAGUGGCGAACGGGUGCUUAACACGUGGGCAACCUGCCAGGAAGUGGGGGAUAGCUCGCCGAAAGGCGAAUUAAUACCGCAUGUGAUUAGAGAGGACAUCCUUUCGAAAUUAAAAGUGGCGCAAGCUACUGCUUCUUGUGGGGCCCGCGGCCUAUCAGCUAGUUGGUGAGGUAACGGCCCACCAAGGCUUUGACGGGUAGCUGGUCUGAGAGGACGACCAGCCACACUGGGACUGAGACACGGCCCAGACACCUACGGGUGGCAGCAGUCGAGAAUUUUUGACAAUGGGGGAAACCCUGAUCGAGCGACGCCGCGUGGAGGAUGAAGGUCUUCGGAUUGUAAACUCCUGUCAUUGGGGAACAAUGUCCCGCUUUUAACUGAGGCGGGAUUGAUAGUACCCGAAGAGGAAGGGACGGCUAACUCUGUGCCAGCAGCCGCGGUAAUACAGAGGUCUCAAGCGUUGUUCGGAUUCAUUGGGCGUAAAGGGUGCGUAGGCGGCGCGGUAAGUCGGGUGUGAAAUCUCGGGGCUUAACUCCGAAACUGCAUUCGAUACUGCCGUGCUUGAGGACUGGAGAGGAGACUGGAAUUUACGGUGUAGCGGUGAAAUGCGUAGAUAUCGUAAGGAAGACCAGUGGCGAAGGCGGGUCUCUGGACAGUUCCUGACGCUGAGGCACGAAGGU
rnacentral:rRNA from 1 species